GGAUGUGAGGGCAAUCAGGCUGCAACAUCUGGUAUUCCAUUGAUUGCCAGGGUUGAUUCAGCUGAUCUGGCUGGCUAGGUGGGUGUCCCCUUCCUCCCUCACUGCUUCAUGUGCGUCCCUCCCCAAGCUGAGCACUCGGUCGGUCGAUCAAAGACGACGACCAUCCCCGAUAGAGGAGGACUGUUCUCCUCGGUCAAGGGUAUACGAGUAGCUGCGCUCUCUGCUAGAACCUCCAAACAAGCUCUCAGGUAAAAAACUUAUCUAACUGAAUACUUAAGAUCUGUGCAUUUCACUGUUUACAAGUUUACUUCAGAAAAAAAUGUUUUUAGUUAUAUUUAA
rnacentral:snRNA from 1 species